rnacentral:rRNA from 1 species
UACGAAGGGGGCUAGCGUUGUUCGGAAUCACUGGGCGUAAAGCGCACGUAGGCGGAUCUUUAAGUCAGGGGUGAAAUCCCGAGGCUCAACCUCGGAACUGCCUUUGAUACUGGGGAUCUCGAGUCCGGGAGAGAUGAGUGGAACUGCGAGUGUAGAGGUGAAAUUCGUAGAUAUUCGCAAGAACACCAGUGGCGAAGGCGGCUCACUGGCCCGGUACUGACGCUGAGGUGCGAAAGCGUGGGGAGCAAACAGG